CUAACACAUGCAAGUCGAACGGUAACAGGAAGCAGCUUGCUGUUUCGCUGACGAGUGGCGGACGGGUGAGUAAUGUCUGGGGAACUGCCUGAUGGAGGGGGAUAACUACUGGAAACGGUAGCUAAUACCGCAUAACGUCGCAAGACCAAAGAGGGGGACCUUCGGGCCUCUUGCCAUCGGAUGUGCCCAGAUGGGAUUAGCUUGUUGGUGGGGUAACGGCUCACCAAGGCGACGAUCCCUAGCUGGUCUGAGAGGAUGACCAGCCACACUGGAACUGAGACACGGUCCAGACUCCUACGGGAGGCAGCAGUGGGGAAUAUUGCACAAUGGGCGCAAGCCUGAUGCAGCCAUGCCGCGUGUAUGAAGAAGGCCUUCGGGUUGUAAAGUACUUUCAGCGGGGAGGAAGGGAGUAAAGUUAAUACCUUUGCUCAUUGACGUUACCCGCAGAAGAAGCACCGGCUAACUCCGUGCCAGCAGCCGCGGUAAUACGGAGGGUGCAAGCGUUAAUCGGAAUUACUGGGCGUAAAGCGCACGCAGGCGGUUUGUUAAGUCAGAUGUGAAAUCCCCGGGCUCAACCUGGGAACUGCAUCUGAUACUGGCAAGCUUGAGUCUCGUAGAGGGGGGUAGAAUUCCAGGUGUAGCGGCGAAAUGCGUAGAGAUCUGGAGGAAUACCGGUGGCGAAGGCGGCCCCCUGGACGAAGACUGACGCUC
rnacentral:rRNA from 1 species